rnacentral:lncRNA from 1 species
GGGUUCGUGCACGUGGCUGGUGUAGUAACUGGAAAACCAUUAGCUGCCACCCGAGGUUAGUCCGUUAUAACUCACCCAAGAGCCUAUGGGCUAGGACCUCCUCCUACUCUCACCACAUGACUCAUCACUCUCUACUUGAGCAUGGAUGAUCAUUAGAAUGUCAGGAUAAACCAUAUAAGGACACUCCGGCCAUUCAUACAGUCAAUCACAACAAACCAUAGGGCAUCACCAUGUAACCUCCCUUGAUGAUCAUGGAAUUAGGUCCAUCAACCAUACUUUCACUUUAAAACUUAACUCAAGAUAUGAACCACCAAAUACCAUAAUAUUAUCACAUUGGAUCCAAACAUAUAACCUCACUGACCAUACAAUAUCAUAGAUACUUUUACACCAUUCUAAUAAUCAAAACAUAUAUUUAAUAUAUAAUUAUACUUCAAAACACCACAUACAACCCAAUAAGUAAUCAAAAAUCGCAUGAAACCAUUCCAUAUACAAUAACAGACAAUAACAGUCCAAGAAGAACCACUAAACAACACAAAACCCGGUAACUCAUACUCAGACAAAUAAAAUGGCUUUGAAACCAUCACCAAUAGUUCCAGAAAGGUCAACCCCCCCCCGGUCCCAAAACGACCUAAAGAACGUCCAAAAAUGAUAUCUAAAACCCUGAAAACCACCUAAAAUUGUGCUAGAUAUUUUCCGACGACAAUAAUCGAUUAUCAUACCUAAUAAUCGAUUAUUCAAGAAAGCUUCAAAGAAAAUACAACUUUCUGACUAGAAUAAUCGAUUAUCAAGUGAGAUAAUCAAUUAUUCUUAUCAAUUUUUGACAGUAACCUGACUUUUCUGGUUUUGGUGCAUCUAAGACAUAUCCAAGUGAUCAAUUUAAAAUCUGGAACACUAAUAUUGAUAUGAAACAUGAUUAUAGAUUAAAGUAAAGUAUUGCAUUGGUCAUUUGAUUGGAAUUAGAUGUACUAAACCAACUCGUUCUACUCCAAAACAUCAAACUCAAUCACUAGAGGACCCAAAACCAUAUUCUAACACUUUGUACCUAUUUUGACCAAUUUGGUGACUCAAACAAGGUACAAUCCACUUGCUAAGACUACCCCCAAUGGCCUAAUUUCUCAAAAUCACCCUCUCACUUCCCCUCAAACGACCUAAAAUGUUUCCUAAUUGCUAAAUUGUAUACCUAAUUAAUAACACAACAGAACUCUCACUCCCA